rnacentral:rRNA from 1 species
AUUGAACGCUGGCGGCAGGCCUAACACAUGCAAGUCGAGCGAGCGGCGGACGGGUGAGUAAUGUAUGGGGACUGCCCGAUAGAGGGGGAUAACUACUGGAAACGGUGGCUAAUACCGCAUACUAUCGGAUAAGCAAGAUGGGAUAGGCUAGUAGGUGGGGUAAAGGCUCACCUAGGCGACGAUCGCUAGCUGGUCUGAGAGGAUGAUCAGCCACACUGGGACUGGGACAGGGCCCAGACUCCUACGGAGGCAGCAGGGGGGAAUAUUGCACAAUGUGCGCAAGCCUGAGGCAGCCAGGCCGCGGGUAUGAAGAAGGCCUUAGGGUUGUAAAGUACUUUCAGCGGGGAGGCGUUACCCGCAGAAGAAGCACCGGCUAACUCCGUGCCAGCAGCCGCGGUAAUUC